rnacentral:rRNA from 1 species
UGGUGAAGUGAUUUGUCUGGUUAAUUCCGAUAACGAGCGAGACCUCAGCUUGCUAAUUAGUAAGGGGAAUCUUUUGAUUCUUACUGUUCCUAACUUCUUAGAGGGACUAUCGGUGACUAGCCGAUGGAAGUUUGAGGCAAUAACA